rnacentral:rRNA from 1 species
AGUACGGCCGCAAGGUUAAAACUCAAAGGAAUUGACGGGGACCCGCACAAGCGGUGGAGCAUGUGGUUUAAUUCGAUGCAACGCGAAGAACCUUACCUGGUCUUGACAUCCUGCGAACUUUCUAGAAAUAGAUUGGUGCCUUCGGGAACGCAGUGACAGGUGCUGCAUGGCUGUCGUCAGCUCGUGUCGUGAGAUGUUGGGUUAAGUCCCGUAACGAGCGCAACCCCUAUCCUUAUUUGCCAGCACAUCAUGGUGGGAACUAUAAGGAGACUGCCGGUGAUAAACCGGAGGAAGGCGGGGACGACGUCAAGUCAUCAUGGCCCUUACGACCAGGGCUACACACGUGCUACAAUGGGAAGGACAAAGAGCCGCGAAGCCGCGAGGUGUAGCUAAUCUCAUAAACCUUUUCGUAGUCCGGAUUGGAGUCUGCAACUCGACUCCAUGAAGUCGGAAUCGCUAGUAAUCGUAGAUCAGAAUGCUACGGUGAAUACGUUCCCGGGUCUUGUACACACCGCCCGUCAUACCAUGGGAGUGGGUUGCACCAGAAGUGGCUAGUCUAACUUUAUUGAGGACGGUCACCACGGUGUGAUUCAUGACUGGGGUAAAGUCGUAACAAGGUAACC